rnacentral:rRNA from 1 species
AGGAUCAUUACAGAGUUCAUGCCCUUCGGGGUAGGUCUCNNNNNNNGUGUAUCAUUAUAGAAUGUUGCUUUGGCGGGCCGNNNGCCCAGCACGCCUCGAUUCGCGUCGAGCGUGCCCGCCAGAGGACCCCUAAACUCUGAAUGUUAGUGUCGUCUGAGUACUAUUAAAUAGUUAAAACUUUCAACAACGGAUCUCUUGGUUCUGGCAUCGAUGAAGAACGCAGCGAAAUGCGAUAAGUAAUGUGAAUUGCAGAAUUCAGUGAAUCAUCGAAUCUUUGAACGCACAUUGCGCCCCUUGGUAUUCCGGGGGGCAUGCCUGUUCGAGCGUCAUUUAUACCAAUCUAGCCCGGCUAGGUGUUGGGCUUCGCCGUUUGGCGGGCCUUAAAACCAGUGGCGGUGCUCUUAGGCUCUACGCGUAGUAAUUUUCUCGCUAUAGGGUCCUGGGAGGUGCUUGCCAGCAACCCUAAAAUUUUCUAGGUUGACCUCGGAUCAGGUAGGGAUACCCGCUGAACUUAAGCAUAUCAAUAAGCGGAGGAAAAGAAACCAACAGGGAUUACCUCAGUAACGGCGAGUGAAGCGGUAACAGCUCAAAUUUGAAAUCUGGCUCUUUUAGGGUCCGAGUUGUAAUUUGUAGAAGAUGCUUUGGGUGUGGCCCUGGUCUAAGUUCCUU